ensembl:snRNA U6 U6 spliceosomal RNA
GCUCCCUUCGGCGGCACAUAUACUAAGAUUGGAAUGAUGCACAGAAGAUUAGCAUGGCCCCUGCGCAAGGAUGACAUGCACAAGUGCCCCACUCGAUCACACAUUAU